rnacentral:lncRNA from 1 species
GGGCCUUAGAAUUUCAGAGAAAACGUGUCAUUCUCACAACCUAUAAUGGAGUAACCAAUUGUUAGCAACACACUAGUACAGAGAUCAAUUGCUCAAGGAUUUGAACUACAAGCCAUGGAUUCACCAAGGUUUAGCUAGUACAGAGGAGGAGAGGAACACGAGAGGAAGAAGAUACAGAAGCAGAGGAGGCCGAAGCCGUCCAAUUCCUAGCCGACUUGUCUGUUGCCGAUGGCCUCGUAUAUGUAGUUGCUUUCUUGCCAGGCCUCCGUGCAGCCCAAGCCGAGCAGCAUAUGGCCCAGCCCAGCACACUAGUAGGGUUCGCUAACAUUCCCCACUCCUUAAAAUUCAGCUUGACCUCAAGCUGAUGCCAUGGCGAACCUCCUGGAUCCCAUGGUACUUGAUGCUUCAUGACUUCGCCGAGGUUGUAGUGGGUGCCGUAGUUGAGGCGGAGCCUGGCGAGGUUGAGGUAGCAGAUGACGCCGACUUGCUCAAGGAAGUAGUCGUUGCUGGUUUUCACUUGGUCGCAAGAAGCGUCGAGGUAGUAGUGUUGGUUAACAUAGACUUGGUUGAAGUAGUAAGCCUGGUCGAGGUCCUGGUCGCAGCAGUAGGGUGGAGCUGCAACAUUCCUCCUUCCUUUUGAUCCCGCUGGUUUGUUGCGUCUAGAAAGUUCCAGGAGCAUUUGAACAUCUAGCAUUCUUGAGAGCAGAUGCACAUGUCUAGCAUCACAAUAUUGCAGCAAGUAAUCCAGUAGGGAGAGACUAUUUUUGUCCAUAACUGAAUUUGUUGUAUGAACAUGUGUCCACAAGAUGCAUGACCAAACUGCAGAUGUGUUUUGAAUCACCCUCAAAAUGUCAAUCCAGCUGGACCGUGCAAAUUUCCAUAGAGAAACAAAACCAUAGGGAAAAAUCAUUCCAGCAGUUACAGGUGCACAGUGAUAAGGAACUGAAUCUGCUGCCGAUGACAAGUACUCAGAUGCUUCCAGAUAUCGUGGUUGAAAAAUCCUCUUAACAUGACUGAAAGAUCCAAACAGACCGUCCUCAAUGGCCACUUCUUCGACACAAAUUUCAGGAUAUGCAGAAGCCAAAGCAACAUGGUGUUCUGUGUAUUGCUGACAGAAAGUGUCAAGACAAUUGAACUGGUACAUGAACAAUUGCCGCUUGUCCUUAGGUUUGUUGGCGCACACGGCAGAGCUACUCGUUUGCGGUGGCGUGAAGAGGUCAGGCUCAAGCGCCGCUGAUGCCGCCGGUGUAGUAGUUGCCAGUGUCGACGCUAGAAUACCAAACCAAAAAUAACUUGGAUUCCAGAACUUGUCCGGGUACAAGCUAUAAUACCACUCCUUGAAAUGCACCAGAGCAACCACAAACCAAAGAAAUUGCAAGGAAUCCCCUUCUCGCAUCGGUGGUGGCCAAGCUGGUUGGAACGCCAGAAAAUUGCAGUAGUCUCUGUCAUGCUUCAGCUGCUCUUGUUGGCGACAGUCAAGUAUGCUGACCGGCUGCAGUUCAGUCAAAAUUAAGAGGAAUGGUGACCAAGGAACAGACUGCCACUGACAAUGAUUAGAACCCAACAAAGACCAAGCAAUCUUCCAUUGGUCUCUCGUACAGAUGUAUUUCAACCAAGGUCCAAUGGUUAGCAGUGCAAGAGCAUCAAAAUCAGGACCCAAUAUUUCACAAGCAUCAAGAAAGCAUGCGAUCCAUGCUAAUCCAUGACUUAUUACUAGUUCACUACUUGUUGCGAAAACUUGUCGCUUCUGGUUUUUAUAUGAGGAAUUAAGACCCAGCUGAUGGAUGACACUACUGCCUUGAGCAUGGAUAAUCGUGGUUGAAUUAAUUGCUCGCUGUCCAAGAUCCCACGGCAAUGCCAAUAAUUCCUCGGAACUAUACCGGAUACCGGUAAGAAAGCAUGCCGAACCAUUGCCAAAAUGAGCUGUAACAAGUAGCUUGCUACUUGUGUCAAUUUCAUUUCUGCGUGGCCACUUACCACAUCCUGUAGUUAACAAGUAGGACCUUGAACAGCCAAAACUCCAAUUUCCUACAUCCCACGGCCGUUGUGGUAACUUGUAAUUCAUAUUGGAAAUGGGGUGAUCUGCUAACGAUAGUACCUUGUGGAGCCUUCGUUGAGACUUGAAAACUCUCCACUGACCCAAAUAUUACUGAGUAGUAAGAUUGCCAAUAACAAACAGAGCAUCAAAUUCAUUUGAAGCUACGAUGACAUGUGGUGACCAUGUAAGUAGUGACUUGUCCUGCUCCUUGGUGACAUUGAUGCUGUCGUUGUUGUUGAGUAACUGGAACAUGUUGACCUUCUUGACACGAGCACUCCUCAAAACUGCACUUAGUGGCAUAAGACUAGAGUGGAAGUAGGCACAUGCUACUCUCGUGAGCGGACAUACACCGAGUGUAGAUUCUGGCGAUUCCAUGCUGGUGUCUUGGUCUAAACUUUCUGUAGAACACCUGGAGGGCGCUGACAUAGGAACACUUGGAAACACGCCGAUGGCACCUAUGUACGGCUUGAGGUGGAAAUCAUCGAGGCAAACCAAUGGGACAACCACACUUGGAGCGAGUUCCAUUGCUGCUGACGCCUCCAUAGCGACAUAGACGAGAGUUGUAGCAUUGUCCCCGCCUGGGCUCGCCCCGACGGUGUCCAUAGGCACCGCAGAGGAAAUCUGUGUAGAUGUCGACGCACACACAGAGGCCAUGGCCGAACUGGUGUCGGAGAUGGCAUCGUGCGUGAGGGAGUUCAUCGCUGUUGAGCUGUCACCCGAGAUGUCCAGCAUGGGGGUCGGACUGAAGGCCACGGCCGCUGGCUCGAGGUCGAAGCAGCCGCGCUCAGGGACGACACCGACGGCGACCUUGGACGAAGCUAAUGUUUCGGUGGGAGUGGGCGCUGACAUCGACCCGGUGACGGCGCGGCUUGGGCAUUGUGUCGAACAUGUUGCGGGCGACAUGACAGCGAGGUCGGCGCCAUGGGAUGCGGCCAUGCCUCGGUCGUUGCCGAGCCGUAGAAUGGCCCCACGGUUGAUGGAGGUCUCGGUGGUGGUCGCAGCAGGCAUGCCGGACGUGGUGGUGACGACGUUGUGGAUGCCCACCGCUCGAGCAUGGCGUCUCUCUUUGAUCUCCUCGCGGAUGCGUUGCCUCGAGCCACCGGUGUAGGCACGCAUCUCCUUGACGGCCGGAUGUACCGCCCGAUUGACGGCGGCCUCCACAGCCGCCUCCACGGCCGCCUCGAUGGAGUUCACCAGUCGUGCCUUCCAAUCCAUGGAAUUGAGGCUGAGUGGUGAAAUUGAAGAAGGGUGGUGGGGAUUGGCUCUGAAUACCAAUUGUUAGCAACACACUAGUACAGAGAUCAAUUGCUCAAGGAUUUGAACUACAAGCCAUGGAUUCACCAAGGUUUAGCUAGUACAGAGGAGGAGAGGAACACGAGAGGAAGAAGAUACAGAAGCAGAGGAGGCCGAAGCCGUCCAAUUCCUAGCCGACUUGUCUGUUGCCGAUGGCCUCGUAUAUGUAGUUGCUUUCUUGCCAGGCCU